UACGGGGGGGGCAAGCGUUGUUCGGAAUUACUGGGCGUAAAGGGCCAGUAGGCGGCCAACUAAGUCCGACGUGAAAUCCCAAGGCUUAACCUUGGAACUGCGUCGGAUACUGGAUGGCUUGAAUUCGGGAGAGGGAUGCAGAAUUCCAGGUGUAGCGGUGAAAUGCGUAGAUAUCAGGAGGAACACCGAUGGCGAAGGCAGGUCUCUGGGCCACUACUGACGCUGAGGAGCGAAAGCGUGGGGAGCAAACAGG
rnacentral:rRNA from 1 species